rnacentral:rRNA from 1 species
UACGGGGGGAGCAAGCGUUGUUCGGAAUUACUGGGCGUAAAGGGCUCGUAGGCGGCCAACUAAGUCAGACGUGAAAUCCCCAGGCUCAACCUGGGAACUGCGUCUGAUACUGGAUGGCUUGAAUCCGGGAGAGGGAUGCAGAAUUCCAGGUGUAGCGGUGAAAUGCGUAGAUAUCUGGAGGAAUACCGGUGGCGAAGGCGGCAUCCUGGACCGGCAUUGACGCUGAGGAGCGAAAGCCAGGGGAGCAAACGGG